CAGCCGCCGCGGUAAUACAGAGGGUGCGAGCGUUAAUCGGAUUUACUGGGCGUAAAGCGUGCGUAGGCGGCUUUUUAAGUCGGAUGUGAAAUCCCUGAGCUUAACUUAGGAAUUGCAUUCGAUACUGGGAAGCUAGAGUGUGGUAGAGGAUAGUGGAAUUUCCGGUGUAGCAGUGAAAUGCGUAGAGAUCGGAAGGAACAUCUGUGGCGAAGGCGACUAUCUGGGCCAACACUGACACUGAGGCACGAAAGCGUGGGGAGCAAACAGGAUUAGAUACCCCCGUAGUCCCUGUCUCUUAUAC
rnacentral:rRNA from 1 species